rnacentral:rRNA from 1 species
UACGGAGGGGGUUAGCGUUGUUCGGAAUUACUGGGCGUAAAGCGCGCGUAGGCGGAUCAGAAAGUUGGGGGUGAAAUCCCGGGGCUCAACCCUGGAAUGGCCUUCAAAACUCCUGGUCUUGAGGUCGAGAGAGGUGAGUGGAAUUCCGAGUGUAGAGGUGAAAUUCGUAGAUAUUCGGAGGAACACCAGUGGCGAAGGCGGCUCACUGGCUCGAUACUGACGCUGAGGUGCGAAAGCGUGGGGAGCAAACAGG